rnacentral:rRNA from 1 species
CAGCCGCCACGGUAAUACGAGGGGGGCUAGCGUUGUUCGGAUUUACUGGGCGUAAAGCGCACGUAGGCGGACUUUUAAGUCAGGGGUGAAAUCCCGGGGCUCAACCCCGGAACUGCCUUUGAUACUGGAAGUCUUGAGUAUGGUAGAGGUGAGUGGAAUUCCGAGUGUAGAGGUGAAAUUCGUAGAUAUUCGGAGGAACACCAGUGGCGAAGGCGGCUCACUGGACCAUUACUGACGCUGAGGUGCGAAAGCGUGGGGAGCAAACAGGAUUAGAGACCCGCGUAGUCCCUGUCUCUUAUAC